rnacentral:sRNA from 2 species
UACAUAUCAUAUGGUAUAUCAUUCGAUCCCAUGUCUGAAAGGAAACACUUGCAAUCUCCUUCCCCAGCGUUUUCUGUUGAAUAAUGCUAUUGGGAAUGGGCGGUCGGCUCCGCUUUUUGAGAUGGCAGCUCCUUAUUUCUUUUCAAUCACCCCUCAAUAAUCACAUCCUCUUGGCUGACACAUAGCCAUGCCUACUCCCUCCCCCAUUACCCUUUGAAAUAUGGUUGGUUGUUUGCUUUCAGAUUGAGGAAGUUGUCAACGUCAGAUUCUCCUAUCUAUAUCUGCAGGGGUCAAUUCGCUCGGAGCUUUACAUACAACGCAUGCAUUGGAAAAGGCGGAGUAUUAAGUUUAUUCAUUUUAUUACGACUUUCACAUGUCAUGUCCUUCCUGCCAACUUCAUUAGGAUAGGGAGAAGUCAAUGAUGUGGAUAGACUGGUGAAGGUUGGAUCAAAUGGUUGGAGGUAAACAAUAUCAUUUCUGCGUGUGUUUGGCAGCUGCGCCACAUGCAUAUCCCCGCUUCAAUGAAUGAAAACUAGCAGGUAGGCCCCUGUUGCAAAGUCCGCGCAGCC